GAAUUAUUGGGCGUAAAGAGCUCGUAGGCGGUUUGUCGCGUCUGCUGUGAAAACUGGAGGCUCAACCUCCAGCCUGCAGUGGGUACGGGCAAACUAGAGUGCGGUAGGGGAGAUUGGAAUUCCUGGUGUAGCGGUGGAAUGCGCAGAUAUCAGGAGGAACACCGAUGGCGAAGGCAGAUCUCUGGGCCGUAACUGACGCUGAGGAGCGAAAGCAUGGGGAGCGAACAGGAUUAGAUACCCUGGUAGUCCAUGCCGUAAACGUUGGGCGCUAGAUGUGGGGACCAUUCCACGGUUUCCGUGUCGCAGCUAACGCAUUAAACGCCCCGCCUGGGGAGUACGGCCGCAAGGCUAAAACUCAAAGGAAUUGACGGGGGCCCGCACAAGCGGCGGAGCAUGCGGAUUAAUUCGAUGCAACGCGAAGAACCUUACCAAGGCUUGACAUAUACCUGAAAAGGCUGGAAACAGUCUCCCCGCAAGGCAGGUAUACAGGUGGUGCAUGGUUGUCGUCAGCUCGUGUCGUGAGAUGUUGGGUUAAGUCCCGCAACGAGCGCAACCCUCGUUCUAUGUUGCCAGCACGUAAUGGUGGGAACUCAUAGGAGACUGCCGGGGUCAACUCGGAGGAAGGUGGGGAUGACGUCAAAUCAUCAUGCCCCUUAUGUCUUGGGCUUCACGCAUGCUACAAUGGCCGGUACAAAGGGCUGCAAUACCGUAAGGUGGAGCGAAUCCCAAAAAGCCGGUCUCAGUUCGGAUUGAGGUCUGCGACUCGACCUCAUGAAGUCGGAGUCGCUAGUAAUCGCAGAUCAGCAACG
rnacentral:rRNA from 1 species